AUACGUAGGUGGCAAGCGUUACUCGGAAUCACUAGGCGUAAAGCGCAGGUAGGAGGUUUGGUAAGUCUGUUGUGAAAGCUCCCGGCUUAACUGGGAGAGGCCAACGGAAACUACCAGGCUAGAGUGCGGUAGAGGUAGCUGGAAUUCCCGGUGUAGCGGUGAAAUGCGUAGAUAUCGGGAGGAAUACCUAUGGCGAAAGCAGGCUACUGGACCGUCACUGACUCUGAUCUGCGAAAGCUAGGGGAGCAAACA
rnacentral:rRNA from 1 species